AGUGAACGCAGGCGGCGUGCCUAAUACAUGCAAGUCGAACGAUGAAGUCCUAGCUUGCUAGGAUGGAUUAGUGGCGCACGGGUGAGUAAUAUAUAGUUAAUCUGCCCUACACAGAGGAACAACAGUUGGAAACGGCUGCUAAUACCUCAUACUCCUAUUUGACAUAAGUUAAAUAGGGAAAGUCUUUCGGUGUAGGAUGAGACUAUAUCGUAUCAGCUAGUUGGUAAGGUAAUGGCUUACCAAGGCUAUGACGCGUAACUGGUCUGAGAGGAUGAUCAGUCACAUUGGAACUGAGACACGGUCCAAACUCCUACGGGAGGCAGCAGUAAGGAAUAUUGCGCAAUGGGGGAAACCCUGACGCAGCAACGCCGCGUGGAGGAUGACACUUUUCGGAGCGUAAACUCCUUUUAUCAGGAAAGAAUAAUGACGGUACCUGAUGAAUAAGCACCGGCUAACUCCGUGCCAGCAGCCGCGGUAAUACGGGGGGUGCAAGCGUUACUCGGAAUCACUGGGCGUAAAGGACGCGUAGGCGGAUUAUCAAGUCUUUUGUGAAAUCUAGUGGCUUAACCACUAAACUGCUUAGGAAACUGAUAGUCUAGAGUAGGGGAGAGGUAGAUGGAAUUCUUGGUGUAGGGGUAAAAUCCGUAGAGAUCAAGAAGAAUACCCAUUGCGAAAGCGAUCUGCUGGAACCUAACUGACGCUGAGGCGUGAAAGCGUGGGUAGCAAACAGG
rnacentral:rRNA from 1 species